rnacentral:rRNA from 1 species
GACGAACGCUGGCGGCGUGCUUAACACAUGCAAGUCGAACGGAAAGGCCCUGCUUGCAGGGUACUCGAGUGGCGAACGGGUGAGUAACACGGGGGUGAUCUGCCCUGCACUUCGGGAUAAGCCUGGGAAACUGGGUCUAAUACCGGAUAGGAGCCAUUUUUAGUGUGAUGGUUGGAAAGUUUUUUCGGUGUAGGAUGAGCUCGCGGCCUAUCAGCUUGUUGGUGGGGUAAUGGCCUACCAAGGCGGCGACGGGUAGCCGGCCUGAGAGGGUGGACGGCCACAUUGGGACUGAGAUACGGCACAGACUCCUACGGGAGGCAGAAGUGGGGAAUAUUGCACAAUGGGCGCAAGCCUGAUGCAGCGACGCCGCGUGGGGGAGGACGGCCUUCGGGUUGUAAACUCCUUUCGCUAGGGACGAAGCUUUUUGUGACGGUACCUAGAUAAGAAGCACCGGCUAACUACGUG